rnacentral:rRNA from 1 species
AUUCCAGCUCCAAUAGCGUAUAUUAAAGUUGUUGCAGUUAAAACGCUCGUAGUCGGAUUUCGGGGCAGGCCGACCGGUCUGCCGAUGGGUAUGCACUGGCCGGCGCGUCCUUCCACCCGGAGACCGCGCCUCCUCUUAACUGAGCGGGCGCGGGAGACGGGUCUUUUACUUUGAAAAAAUCAGAGUGUUUCAAGCAGGCAGUCGCUCUUGCAUGGAUUAGCAUGGGAUAAUGAAAUAGGACUCUGGUGCUAUUUUGUUGGUUUCGAACACCGGAGUAAUGAUUAACAGGGACAGUCAGGGGCACUCGUAUUCCGCCGAGAGAGGUGAAAUUCUCAGACCAGCGGAAGACGAACCACUGCGAAAGCAUUUGCCAGGGAUGUUUUCAUUA